GGCACGUGCUUAAUGAGUACAUGCUUCAUACUGCUGUGCCAGCAUCGUUUAAUUGGUGCUGAAUACUAGUUGCACUAAGCAAGUUAUGAUUCUCCAGUAUGAGUAAAAACUACCGUUUGGGCUGCGUGAGAUGCGCCGGGUCCACC
rnacentral:sRNA from 12 species